rnacentral:rRNA from 1 species
CCUGGUUGAUCCCGCUAGUAUUCCUGUGCUUGUCUCAAAUAUUAAGCCAUGCAUGUUUAAGUAUGAAAUAAUUUAGACUAUGAAACUGUGGAUGGAUCAUUAAAUUAGUUAUAUCUUUUUGAUGGUACCAUACUACUUGGAUAACUAUAGUAAUUCUAUAGAUAAUAUGUGGAACAAGUCUCAACUCUUUGGAAGGGAUACAUUUUUUAGAUAAAAUGUUGGUGCAAGCUUGCCUGCUUCUCUGGUGAAUCAUGAUAACUCGACAUAUUGCACAACCUUUAUGUUGGCGAUGCUUCAUUCAAGUUUCUGCCCUAUCAACUUUCAAUGGUAGGAUAGAGGCAUACCAUGGUGGUGAUGGGUGAUGAAGAAUUAGUGGUCGAUUCCGAGGAGAGAGCUUGAGAAACGGCUACCACAUCCAAGGAAGGUAGCAGGCAUGCAAGCUACCCAAUCCUAACAUGGAGAGGUAGUUACAAUAGAUAACAAUAUUGGCCUCAUUGAGUCUAGUAAUUGUAAUGAGUACAAUAUAAAUCCCUUAAUGAGGAUCCAUUGGAGGGCAAGUCUGGUGCUAGUAGCCAUAGUAAUUCCAACUCCAAUAGCAUAUAUUUAAGUUGUUGCAGUUAAAAAGCUCGUAGUUGGAUAUUGGGUCGUAAAGGUCGGUCCGCCUACUCGGUGUGCACUUUCCCUUUCAUUAAUUUUGUUGACGGCAUGCUCUUGGCCUUAAUUGGUGGGGUUGUGGCUUUGGCACUAUUACUUUGAAAAAAUUAGAGUGCUCAAAGCAAGUUUAUGCUCUGAAAACAUUAGCAUGGAAUAAUGUGAUAUUAGUCUAGUCCUAUUAUGUUGGACUUUGGGACCAAAUUAAUGAUUAAUAGGGAUUGUCGGGGGAAUUUAUAUUUCAUUUUCAAAGGUGAAAUUCUUGGAUUUAUGAAAGACAGAUAACUGUGAAAUCAUUUUCCAAGGAUGUUUUCAUUAAUCAAGAACGAAAGUUGGGGACUUGAAGACAAUCAGAUACCAUCCUAGUCUCAACCAUAAACAAUGCUGACCAAGGAUUGGUGGAUGUUGCUCUAAGGGCUCCACCAGAACCUUCUGAGAAACCAGAGUGUUUGGGUUCUGGGGGGAGUAUGGUCGCAAGGUUGAAACUUAAAAGAAUUGAUGGAAGGGCACCACAAGGAGUGGAGCCUGCAACUUUAUUUGACUCAACGCGGGGAAACUUACCAGUUCUAGACAUAGUGAGGAUUAACAAAUUGAGAGCUCUUUCUUGAUUCUAUGGGUGGUAGUGCAUGGUUGUUCUUAGUUGGUGGAGCGAUUUGUCUGGCUAAUUCCGAUAACGAAUGAAACCUCAGCUUGCUAACUAGCUAUGUGGAGGUUCCCCUUCACAGCCAACUUCUUAGAGGGACCAUGGCCAUUUAGAAUAUGGAAUUUUGAGCAAAUAAUAGGUCUGUGAUUCCCUUAGAUGUUCUUGGUUGUACAAACAUGACACUGAUGCAGCCAAAAAAAUUUUCUUCCUUGUUCAAGGGGAUCAGGAAAUCUUCUCAAAUUUCACCAUGAUGGGGAUGGACCAUUUCAAUUAUUGGUCUUCAACUAGGAAUUCCUAGUAAGCACGUGCCAUCAACUAGUGUUGACUACAUACCUUCCCUUUGUACACACUGCCCAUCACUCCUACUGAAUGAUCAGUGAAGUGUUCGAAUUGCGUCGAUGAUGGAGGUUUGUUGUCGUUGACAUCGUGAGAAGUUCAUUGAAACUUACCAUUUCGAGGAAGGAGAAGUCAUAAUAAGGUUACUAUAGGUGAACCUAGAGUCA